rnacentral:misc_RNA from 1 species
CACAAUAAAAUAUGAAGGCUGUACGCGGCUGUGCUCUCGGGCCAGUUUUGCGGAGGCUGAAUUAUUUAUUACCCUUGUCUUUUGCGCACUUGUUGUUUCCUGGGCGGGUUCGCCCGCCACCAGGACCACAUCAUAAACCUCUUUUAUGCAGUUGUAAUCAGCGUCAGUAUAACAAAUGUAAAUCAUUUA